CGAAGGAGGAGGUGCUGGUCCUUCGUGGGGAUUUCGCCCCCAUAGAAGAGGAAGUCGGAAAUACUGAUGACAAAGACGAAAUAAAUCAAGGAAAGAGAAAAAGAAAGAAAGAAAGGUAAUUCAGAGGAUUCGAGAUAACGAAGCUUUGCCAGACAGGAAGACGAGACUAGUGGUUUGAAGCGUUUAAAGUGUCGGGAGCGAACCGUGGAAAAGAGUGUUGGUGUAUAUACGGUGUUUUGAGAUUUUUAAUGAAGAAACGGAAGAAAAGGGAGGGGAUAAAUAUAACUAGGAAGGAAACGGAGAGAAGGUAAAAGAACCCGAAUAGAAAAGAUAAGGUGAGGAGAAUCGAGGGAAUAAAGCGAAGUUAAAGAAUAUAAGAAACAAAAAGACAAUCAAAGGAAGAAGAUGUAAAAGACAAAGCGAGAAUUAAAGAAAGAAGAAAAGGAGUCCGGAGGGUGUUGACCGGUCAGAAUUCCUCCUCCUCGUCGUGGAGUUGUCUGGUCGAGCCACUCAGGAAGCAGAAGCCCGCCCGAUCACGCCAUGGCACUCGGGGCUGAAAGGAGGCAGGAAUGGGAACGGAUAAGGAUGCCAAGUGCUGCAGGAGACGGUAAUUGGUGAUGUAAAGGGGGGAGCUUUACAAGGGACUUAAAUACGGGUUAAAAUUUAUAAAGGACGAUAUUAAGGGUAGGAGAAGUGAUCAUUUCAAAGGGACGAUACUAACGGUAAGAUAAAAAUACAAAGGACAAUAGUCAAGAUAAAAAGAAGAAAUGUAAAGGGCGAGAUUCCGGAUAAAAAAAAAAAAAAAGGAAGAAAUUUGCAGAGGGCGAUAUAUCUCCGCGGAGGCAACGGCGACAGCGGCUCCGGAGUGUCUUGAAGGAGGAGUCCGAAGGAGGCCCUGUGCCCCCUCACCCCCCUUCUCCCCUGGCUCUUCCUGCUGUGAUUCCGUUGCUUUCGAAGAGGCUCUCUCUGUGGGCGAAAUUCCCGGCGAUGUUGGCGCUGUGAAUCGAAUCAAAGAGGUUCGUUGGCCCGUCUUUGAAAGUUCGUUAUAAGGAGUGAGUCGGAGGAAGGCAGAGGCUUGGAGGGUUACGUCGAGGAAGGAAUCGGUUUAGCUCUUAGACUUUGUUGGGUGUGACAUUUUGCAACUUCAGCAACGUUGCACACUCGUUUUUCGCCUUAAAGAGCGACAUGUGAUGCACAGGAAGACGAAAAAUGCGUUUAGUGUUUCUGAAGAUUUUAGAUGAGGUUUCCACUGACUGUUUGUGCCCAAGACGAAAUAAUAUGAAAGAAGAAUAAAGAGGGGAAGAGAGAGAGAGAGA